GGAAAAGAAACUAACAAGGAUUCCCCUAGUAACGGCGAGUGAAGAGGGAAGAGCUCAAAUUUGAAAGCUGGUACCUUCGGUAUCCGCGUUGUAACCUCGAGACACGUUUUCCGUGCGGCGCUAUGGACAAGUUCCUUGGAACAGGACAUCGUAGAGGGUGAAAAUCCCGUACUUGCCAUGGAUGUACCGUGCUUUGCGAUACGUGCUCUAAGAGUCGAGUUGUUUGGGAUUGCAGCUCAAAAUGGGUGGUAGACUCCAUCUAAAGCUAAAUAUCGGGGAGAGACCGAUAGCGAACAAGUACCGUGAGGGAAAGAUGAAAAGCACUUUGGAAAGAGAGUUAAAAGUACGUGAAAUUGUCGAAAGGGAAGCGCUUGAAGUCAGCCAUGCCGCUCAGGACUCAGCCUGGCUUUUGCUUGGUGUAUUUCCUGGGUAGCAAGUCAGCAUUGGUUUGGAUCGUCGGAGAAGCAUAGUCGGAAUGUGGCGCCCUCGGGCGUGUUAUAGCCUUCUAUUGGAUACGACGAUCUAGACCAAGGAACGCAGCGCGCCUUAUGGCGG
rnacentral:rRNA from 1 species